rnacentral:rRNA from 1 species
CCCUUAGAUGUUCUGGGCUGCACGCGUGCUACAAUGAAGCGUCCAACAAGAUGCGAAGCCGAAAGGCUCAGCGGAUCUUUGAAGUCGUUUCGUGACCGGGACAGUUGAUUGCAAUUAUUCGACUCGAACGAGGAAUUUCUUGUAAUCGCGAUUCAUCAUAUCGCGCUGAAUACGUCCCUGCCCUUUGUACACACCGCCCGUCGCUCCUACCGAUUGAGCGAUCCGGUGAAUUAUUUGGAGUGUCCACGCAAGCCAAUCCGUUUACGUGGGUGCGAAAUUUUGUAAACCUUAUCGCUUAGAGGAAGGAAAAGUCGUAACA